UCCCAUCCGUGUCUAUCUGUACCCUGUUGCUUCGGCGUGGCCACGGCCCGCCGGAGACUAACAUUUGAACGCUGUCUGAAGUUUGCAGUCUGAGUUUUUAGUUAAACAAUCGUUAAAACUUUCAACAACGGAUCUCUUGGUUCCGGCAUCGAUGAAGAACGCAGCGAAAUGCGAUAAUUAAUGUGAAUUGCAGAAUUCAGUGAAUCAUCGAGUCUUUGAACGCACAUUGCGCCCCCUGGUAUUCCGGGGGGCAUGCCUGUCCGAGCGUCAUUGCUGCCCUCAAGCACGGCUUGUGUGUUGGGCUUCCGUCCCUGGCAACGGGGACGGGCCCAAAAGGCAGUGGCGGCACCAUGUCUGGUCCUCGAGCGUAUGGGGCUUUGUCACCCGCUCCCGUAGGUCCAGCUGGCAGCUAGCCUCGCAACCAAUCUUUUUAACCAGGUUGACCUCGGAUCAGGUAGGGAUACCCGCUGAACUUAAGCAUAUCAAA
rnacentral:rRNA from 1 species